UACGAAGGGGGCUAGCGUUGCUCGGAAUGACUGGGCGUAAAGGGCGCGUAGGCGGAUGGCACAGUCAGAUGUGAAAUUCCCGGGCUUAACCUGGGGGCUGCAUUUGAUACGUGUUGUCUUGAGUUCGGAAGAGGGUCGUGGAAUUCCCAGUGUAGAGGUGAAAUUCGUAGAUAUUGGGAAGAACACCGGUGGCGAAGGCGGCAACCUGGUCCUUGACUGACGCUGAGGCGCGAAAGCGUGGGGAGCAAACAGG
rnacentral:rRNA from 1 species